rnacentral:misc_RNA from 1 species
GAAAUGCGAUAAGUAAUGCGAAUUGCGGAAUUCAGUGAAUCAUCGAAUCUUUGAACGCACAUUGCGCCCCCCAGUAUUCUGGCGGGCAUGCCUGUUCGAGCGUCAUUUCAACCAUCAAGCCCCCCGGCUUGUGUUGGGGACCUGCGGCUGCCGCAGGCCCUGAAAAGCAGUGGCGGGCUCGCUGUCACACCGAGCGUAGUAGCAUACAUCUCGCUCUGGGCGUGCUGCGGGUUCCGGCCGUUAAACCACCUUCGUAACCCAAGGUUGACCUCGGAUCAGGUAGGAAGACCCGCUGAACUUAAGC